rnacentral:lncRNA from 1 species
GCUACUUCCUGUGAGCAGCCCAGGGAUGGCCAGUCACUUGUGACCUACUUUCAGAGCUGGCAGUUCUGACUUCUAGAACAAACUCGGAACAAGCCCAUCUACAGCUGGUUGACUGAGUUUCCUUUGGGCUCCUGGCACCAGAAAGAAUUGCUCACUGGAAGGAUCAUAGGUGGCACUCAUGUCUCACUGCCCCACUCAGAGCAGAGAUGCCUCACUGUGAUAGGUAAAUUAAGGUGAUACUGAUUGCCAGCUCCAGUGUGGAAGUCCUGAGGUGAAGGAAUUUCUUUCAUAAACAUUUCAAGUGAGUCGAUCCAGAAUACACCUCCACCAUGAGAUUACCUGUAAUCUAAUUCAACCUCGAAGACGGAGUCCAAACAGCUUGAGGUUCUGCAGAUUUCACAACAGCAGCCACAAAAUGAAAGUGAACA